GACGAACGCUGGCGGCGUGCUUAACACAUGCAAGUCGAACGGAAAGGCCCUGCUUUUGUGGGGUGCUCGAGUGGCGAACGGGUGAGUAACACGUGAGUAACCUGCCCUUGACUUUGGGAUAACUUCAGGUAACUGGGGCUAAUACCGGAUAGGAGCUCCUGCUGCAUGGUGGGGGUUGGAAAGUUUCGGCGGUUGGGGAUGGACUCGCGGCUUAUCAGCUUGUUGGUGGGGUAGUGGCUUACCAAGGCUUUGACGGGUAGCCGGCCUGAGAGGGUGACCGGCCACAUUGGGACUGAGAUACGGCCCAGACUCCUACGGGAGGCAGCAGUGGGGAAUAUUGCACAAUGGGCGGAAGCCUGAUGCAGCAACGCCGCGUGCGGGAUGACGGCCUUCGGGUUGUAAACCGCUUUCGCCUGUGACGAAGCGUGAGUGACGGUAAUGUGUAAAGAAGCACCGGCUAACUACGUG
rnacentral:rRNA from 1 species